rnacentral:rRNA from 1 species
UGCGAUUAGAGUUUGAUCCUGGCUCAGAAUCAACGCUGGCGGCGUGCCUAACACAUGCAAGUCGAACGCGAAAGUGGAGCAGUCCAUCAGUAGAGUGGCAAACGGGUGAGUAACGCGUGGGUGACCUGCCUUCGAGCGGGGGAUAACGUUCCGAAAGGGACGCUAAUACCGCAUAAUAUCCUGCUUUUUAAGAGGUGGAGAUCAAAGCCUGGGACCGCAAGGCCAGGCACUCGAAGAGGGGCCCGCGUCCGAUUAGCUAGUUGGUGGGGUAAUGGCUCACCAAGGCUCCGAUCGGUAUCCGGCCUGAGAGGGCGGACGGACACACUGGGACUGAGACACGGCCCAGACUCCUACGGGAGGCAGCAGUGGGGAAUUGUUCGCAAUGGGCGCAAGCCUGACGACGCAACGCCGCGUGGAGGAUGAAGAUCUU